rnacentral:rRNA from 1 species
GACGAACGCUGGCGGCGUGCUUAACACAUGCAAGUCGAGCGGUAAGGCCUUUCGGGGUACACUAGCGGCGAACGGGUGAGUAACACGUGGGUGAUCUGCCCUGCACUUCGGGAUAAGCCUGGGAAACUGGGUCUAAUACCGGAUAUGACCUCCUAUCGCAUGGUGGGUUGUGGAAAGAUUUAUCGGUGCAGGAUGGGCCCGCGGCCUAUCAGCUUGUUGGUGGGUUAAUGGCCUACCAAGGCGACGACGGGUAGCCGACCUGAGAGGGUGACCGGCCACACUGGGACUGAGACACGGCCCAGACUCAUACGGGAGGCAGCAGUGGGGAAUAUUGCACAAUGGGCGAAAGCCUGAUGCAGCGACGCCGCGUGAGGGAUGACGGCCUUCGGGUUGUAAACCUAUUUCAGCAGGGACGAAGAGCAAGUGACGGUACCUGCAGAAGAAGCACCGGCUAACUACGUG